rnacentral:lncRNA from 1 species
GCUGUUGAAUACUUUUAAUAUUUGAUCUAUUUUAAUAUGUUUAACUGAAAGUAAAACCUUCUCUGCAUUUCUAGCAUUAAUGACAAAUGCCGAUUGAAACCUGCUAGUGGAGCUUAUCUUCACUGAAAUUUGCAUUUACAUGAUGUCCUAACCAAAAGUAACAGCUUCUUAAUCUUAGGACAGCUAUGCAGACUUCCAGCAGCAGAAUAAUAUCGCAAUUAUGCUGUCUUCCAAACAUUUGGGAAGGCAGGGCGAUAUGAAAGAGAACCCUGAGAGAAUAAAAGAGAAAAGACACAAAGGACAACUUCUGGGUUCUUUCAAAACACAGUUACGGUCUGAGAAAUGAAAAUGCUGUCACGCACUGCCAGAUAAAGUGGAAAAAUUACACUCCAUACUUUGGAAGGGGCCGCCGCUGCCUUAUAGAUUAAGGGUUUUUCUUUUCUAUUUCCCAAGGCCGCUUUGAUGUAAGGUCUGGUGUGUCCAGUGAUUUACACAAUUACUUAGGCACAAAGGUUAAGAGAGAUGCUUUGUAAACUUCCAAAAAGUCACACACUGACUUCUUUCCACUUCACAGUCAGAGCUGUAUGAAGACUGGCAUUCAUGAGAAUGGAAGUUUGUUCUAAAUUUAAUAAGCAUAUUUGGUGCAAUUGUACUAUUUGUGUUUGGAGCUGACUUACUUCCCCAAAUGUGCUAUAAACUGGGUCUUUUAUUUGUAACCAAUCUGUGACAUGUAAAAAAAGGCACAAUAUAUAUUAAGAAACAUACAUAUUUAGGAAAUAUCCAACACAAAAAUAUAGAUGCUCAAUUCUCUGAAGCAAACAGCAAAAUAGUAAAAGAAUCUGAUACAAAUAACAUAGAUGAACAGUUUAGCAAAAACAUUU